UAGAAUGAAUGAGAUCAAAUU
rnacentral:piRNA from 1 species